rnacentral:rRNA from 1 species
UACGUAGGGUGCAAGCGUUAAUCGGAAUUACUGGGCGUAAAGCGUGCGCAGGCGGUUUUGCAAGACAGAUGUGAAAUCCCCGGGCUCAACCUGGGAACUGCAUUUGUGACUGCAUCGCUAGAGUACGGCAGAGGGGAUGGAAUUCCGCGUGUAGCAGUGAAAUGCGUAGAUAUGCGGAGGAACACCGAUGGCGAAGGCAAUCCCCUGGGCCUGUACUGACGCUCAUGCACGAAAGCGUGGGGAGCAAACAGG